rnacentral:lncRNA from 1 species
GAACUCCCCUUAGUCAGGUGCUCAAUAAUCAGCUGAGAGCCCGGGGUGAAAACGUCUAUCAGCUUCAGGAAUUUUGUCAGGUGAUUCUCAGAUUCCAGGGAGUGUCCUGGUGACUUCUGGGUGGCCAGACCCCUCCUGAUCCCCAAUAUCUGUGCCCCUCCCUCCCACCGGCCAGCCAGUCAAACCACCAGGAUAACGCCUCAUAUACCCGGACUUCCGAUCUUAAAUUCAGAACCCUUGAUCUGGGACCCUCGUUCAUGAUUACAAAACCCAGGUCUGACAAGAAGGAAGUCAGGCUUCUGAAAGGAAGGCUUCGGAAAGUCUGUUGCUCUGAGCCUGGUGGGCAUGAAGACGGCCAGAGUAAGGCCAGCCCAGGUUCAAGAUGAGGGGAUAUCCCUAACUGCACCUACUUACCCAUGCAAAGCCAGUAUUUGAGGAAAAGGGACAAGAGGAAGCCAAGGAGACACUGACGCAGGACAACACACCUGUCUUGGAUACGGGUAACCAGAGGAAGUGGCAUGGCUCCUCUACACCUGACUUCUUUAUCUUCAAAAGAAAAUAAAACUGCUCCUCCCCCCAAAGGCGGU